rnacentral:rRNA from 1 species
UUGCUACUUUUGCCGGCGAGUGGCGAACGGGUGAGUAAUGUAUCGGAACGUGCCCAGUAGCGGGGGAUAACUACGCGAAAGCGUGGCUAAUACCGCAUACGCCCUACGGGGGAAAGGGGGGGAUCUUAGGACCUCUCACUAUUGGAGCGGCCGAUAUCGGAUUAGCUAGUUGGUGGGGUAAAGGCCUACCAAGGCGACGAUCCGUAGCUGGUUUGAGAGGACGACCAGCCACACUGGGACUGAGACACGGCCCAGACUCCUACGGGAGGCAGCAGUGGGGAAUUUUGGACAAUGGGGGAAACCCUGAUCCAGCCAUCCCGCGUGUGCGAUGAAGGCCUUCGGGUUGUAAAGCACUUUUGUCAGGGAAGAAAAGGUUUCGGAUAAUACCCGGAGCUGAUGACGGUACCUGAAGAAUAAGCACCGGCUAACUACGUGCCAGCAGCCGCGGUAAUACGUAGGGUGCAAGCGUUAAUCGGAAUUACUGGGCGUAAAGCGUGCGCAGGCGGUUCGGAAAGAAAGAUGUGAAAUCCCAGGGCUCAACCUUGGAACUGCAUUUUUAACUACCGGACUAGAGUAUGUCAGAGGGGGGUGGAAUUCCACGUGUAGCAGUGAAAUGCGUAGAUAUGUGGAGGAACACCGAUGGCGAAGGCAGCCCCCUGGGAUAAUACUGACGCUCAUGCACGAAAGCGUGGGGAGCAAACAGGAUUAGAUACCCUGGUAGUCCACGCCCUAAACGAUGUCAACUAGCUGUUGGGCCCUUCGGGGCUUAGUAGCGCAGCUAACGCGUGAAGUUGACCGCCUGGGGAGUACGGUCGCAAGAUUAAAACUGAAAGGAAUUGACGGGGACCCGCACAAGCGGUGGAUGAUGUGGAUUAAUUCGAUGCAACGCGAAAACCUUACCUACCCUUGACAUGUCUGGAAUCCUGAAGAGAUUUA